UCAAGAGUGACCAAUCACAGGGCGGCCGAUGCGCAUGCGCAGUGUUCCAAACCUGGCUUCCUAAGCAACCUGGAAGCAGGCCGUUAAAUAUAUGUAUGAGCAGCAUGUGAAUGAUUGGUGCCUAUGACGUCCGGAAGAGGGAGUCGGCUUCCCUGGAACUGAAUGGUUGUGCGUCUCCGUGUGGGUGCUAGGACCCAAACCAUGUUCUCUGCAAGAACAAGAAGCGCUCUUAACCACCGAGCCAACUUCCAGCACCAUGCAGUCCAGGCUGUCUUCCAACUUUUCAUGUGGCCGAGGUUACCCUUAAGCUCCUGGUCUUCCUGCCUCUACUUCCUGGUAUGACAGAUGUAUGGCCACUAUGUGUGACCUUCAGGUUUUUGAGAUAGCUCUAGCCCAGGCUGCCCUGGUGCUCACUGUUGUGAGAAACAACCUCCACGCUAAUAAAGAGACUAGCUAGUGAAAGAGAA